rnacentral:lncRNA from 1 species
ACUCCCAGAUGGGACCGUCUAGUUGCAGGAAAACAAGCUCAGGGCUCCCACUGAUUCUACAUUAUGCACACCAAAGAGAGUUCUAGAAAAAAUGAGAAUAAGAAAUUUACCUGUAAUCCUUGCUCAAGAAACUGAAGCUCUGAGGCCACAUUGUUCCAGCCUUUUGCAGCUCCUGCAUGUGGAUACCAGCACCAGCAGCUCCCCGACCAGGGGCCCCAGCUAAGCCCUCCCAGAGGAUGAUCUUGGCUUUGUACAUGGGGUGUCAAUAUCCUGUGAGUCCAACAGAGGGAAGACAUAAGAAUAUGGUCACCCAGAACCACCUUAAAAGUAGACCUUUCAGAGCUACCCGAGAAUCCUGGUCCCUGCAGCUGAUCUUCCCACCUCCACCCAGCUCUCGUCCUCCUCUUCCUCCCCAUCCACCAUCCUGACCAGUCAAACUAUGGAAACCAUUGUAUCAGGAACUGAAAGGAGAUCAACAUGGCAGAACUGGAGAGUGGGAGAAGGCAAUGUUGAGAAAUUGGACUGGAGAGAGAAGCAGGGUGCAUAUCUCUAUUAUAGUAUUUAUCAGACUACUUAUCAUUAUUCAUUUUAAAAGUUCUUACUUGAUAUCUAGGGUUGACUUAUACCCAAUAAUUUACAUAUCUGAAUAUUUUGUGGAGAUAAUUAAUAACCUUCGUACAAUUCUCUAAAGUUCUAUGUCUUAGUAAACAUUAUUAAUCUAA